rnacentral:rRNA from 1 species
UGGGGAAUUUUGGACAAUGGGCGCAAGCCUGUUCCAGCCAUGCCGCGUGCGGGAAGAAGGCCUUCGGGUUGUAAACCGCUUUUGUCGGGGAAGAAAAGCCUUGGGUUAAUACCCUGGGGUGAUGACGGUACCCGAAGAAUAGGCACCGGCUAACUACGUGCCAGCAGCCGCGGUAAUACGUAGGGUGCAAGCGUUAAUCGGAAUUACUGGGCGUAAAGCGUGCGCAGGCGGUUGUGUAAGACAGAGGUGAAAUCCCCGGGCUCAACCUGGGAACUGCCUUUGUGACUGCAAGGCUGGAGUGCGGCAGAGGGGGAUGGAAUUCCGCGUGUAGCAGUGAAAUGCGUAGAUAUGCGGAGGAACACCGAUGGCGAAGGCAAUCCCCUGGGCCUGCACUGACGCUCAUGCACGAAAGCGGGGGGAGCAAACA